CAUCCUGUCAGAACAAUGUCAGGAGAGGGAUGAGGGAUGUGGUCUCCUCUUUGCCUAUUUCUUGCUACAACCACACUAUUGCUCGUGAUCAUUAGACUGAGGCUUCUAUGAGGAGGCAUUUUGACUUAAAUUCCUCCAAGCUGAUGUGUCCUGUUCCUGUAAAAUUCUCAUUCAACAGAGAGCACCCUGCAGGAUGGUAAGAAAUUUUCUGGAAUUGCAUGGACAAGCUGUGAAUGAUUGAAGGACUAGAAAAGCAAUGCUGGGAAAUGCAGGUUGGAGGCAUUGCUCCAAGCAAGUCUGCUUUGUGCUGGCAUCUAAAGCUGCAGCAGAGGUCAUGAGAGCAGCCUCUGGAUUGUUCCUCUUGCCACAAAGGUGGAGAGUGAGAUCUUCAGUGAGAAGUGAAAUUAAAUUUAUUAGGGAUUAAAAGGACAAGAGAGAUGUGUUGGGAACAAUGAAUGCCAAUGAGGCCUCUCGGCUGCUCCCCUAAGCAAAUUGCAGUCUCGGUGCAGCAUCAGCUUCUCAGCCCCCCAAAUUGCAGUAAUCGGGUCUGGAGCUGAGGGGAGCGUGAAUCACCACUUAAUUUGCUCAUCAGUGGAGGCCAAGUUUUCAAAACAUUUUUAGAUGCAUUUCUACAGAGAUUUCUGCCAGCCAGUGACCUAUAGAGUGACAAGAAAAUGAGCAAUAGCUGCUGCUGAAUCAGGCUUUGCUCCCUGCCACCUACCCUUCUGAUCAUAGUCAGGGGCAGGGAGGGCAGGUAAAUCAAAGGCUUUUGGAAUUAUUAUGCAGAAAAGAACCCUGCUGAGCUGGUAGGAACACCUGGACUUGUUAAGUAACAACCUGUGAAUUCCUGGGCUGCCUGGUAGGUUCAGAUGAACUUUGACUGGCCCCAGCCAGAAGAGGUGUGAGAUUGGGAACAGAUUGGGAUCCAUGCUCCAAGGGACAGCCCACAGGCAGCAGCUGCAGCCCAUGGAAGAGGCCGUGCAUCUCCUAAGGAUCCCGUACUCUUACACCUCAUCUGCUCUUUGCCUGGGUUCAAAACUGCCACCUGGCACAACCACUUGUCACCCAGGGCCUUCCCUGUGUAGUUUUGCCACUUCUUGUCAACACUGCUUGAUGAAUUUGGAAAAUGAGAGGGCUGGCAGGCAUGGAUUCUUGGUAAGUUGGAUUCCUAGUUUCUGGGGAACUCAAGCACACCUGGAGACUGGAGGUAACUGGUUUGUGUUAAUGAGUGGCUCAGUUAUUUAUCCCUCCCCAGCAUUAUGGAGCACCACAAGUCUCCUGAGAAGCCAGAGCUGACAGUGGACUUGAUCACCUUCAACUUGGACACCCUUUGUGUCUGUGCGUCUGUCUGUGUGUCAGUCCUGGCCCAGAGCCCUAUCCAGGUCCUGGAAUAUUCCAGCAUCUUCCUCUGUUUCAGUUCCCUCUGUUCUGGGAGUUGUAGAUACUUUGUGCCCUCCUAUCUUUCAAGAAUACAUUGUAGGUAAUUAUUAUGUUCACUUAAUUAGCUUUUUGUUGAUUUGAGCUCAUUUGGUGCAAUCACUGGUGCUUCUGCAGCACACAUUCCAUCAUCUGAUUUUUUCCUUAUUAAUGGAAGAGCCUAAUCACCCACUUCCAACCAGUCUUUAAGUACCCUUCAUUAUUUCUUUGUUGUUGUGGUAUGGGAAUUGAUUUAGAGUUGAAACUUGUCUCAACUAAUUGCAAGACAUAAUACCCAAAAAUAUGAAUUAACAAAUACUAAUAUGUACUUAACAUCUGUCCUAGUUACCAGUGUUUGUACCCACACACAGAGGAUGCUGCUACUGGCUGAAAUUAGAAUACAGGAAAAAUGUAGUUUAUCCAAAGUCUGUAUUUCUCUAGCAAGUUUCAAAUGAGCAUGAGGCAUAUAUCCCAUUCAAAUAUUUAUUUUUUCAGCAUCUUUACCAAAAAGAGAACUUUCUAGAUGACCCUUGUGCCAGCAGAAGUUGUGGUUCUAGCUGAUAUUACUCAAUUAACAUUGUAUGAGAUUUCUCCAAAUGUGUUGACUGCCCUAUCCAUCUUAAAGGGAAAAACAACAAAAAAAACACCCGAAAAAACCCCAAACCACCACCAAACACCCCCAAAGAACACCCCACAACCCAAAACCAACCAAACAAAAAAAUCCCCCUAAACAACAACAAAAAACUACCCACAUCCUUUUAAUUUCUCCUGUUUGUCACUAAAAUAAUGCAGUACAAAUUUGCCAAGUCUUGCAAACCAGCACAAUUUCACGUUCUGGGACACCAUUAAUUUUCACAGGAAAAUAUGUGCUUAGAAUCAU
ensembl:lncRNA